AAGAACUAUUUCGAUGAAUUUGACCUCAAAUCAGGUAGGACUACCCGCUGAACUUAA
rnacentral:rRNA from 1 species